ACGUACUUUAUUAAAAUUGUCAUUAUAAAUCUUUUAAAGUUAUUUCUAUAAUAAACUGUGCUACAGGAUCUGCUGUUGGAGAACUACUUACAACUGCACGUCCAGUAAUCCAAAGACAGGACAAAAGACCUUGCGCCUGUAAAGGGAAGGAAAUGGGUGUGAUGAACAAAGCCUGCCACUGCUUGAAUACUGCUGGAUACAUUGGAAAGUCGAAAAAACACUGCAAGAUGGAAAAGUUCAAGAACAUGAAGAUAUGCCAAAGGAUUAAUAAAUCCUUCAACCCCUCCGUGCCCAUAUGAGCAACAAAAAGAAGCCCUUCAUUCUUACACAUGCAUGCUUUUGUAAGACUCUUUGCCAAUCAUAUUUUCUAUGCAUACACAUGAUAUUUUUUACAAAUGCAGUGUAAAAGAAACUUUAUCACUGGAAUUUGAAUUCACUAUAACUUUCUGAA